UACGUAGGGUGCAAGCGUUGUCCGGAAUUAUUGGGCGUAAAGAGCUCGUAGGCGGUCUGUCGCGUCGGCUGUGAAAACUCGGGGCUCAACCCCGAGCCUGCAGUCGAUACGGGCAGACUAGAGUGCUGUAGGGGAGACUGGAAUUCCUGGUGUAGCGGUGAAAUGCGCAGAUAUCAGGAGGAACACCGGUGGCGAAGGCGGGUCUCUGGGCCGAUGCUGACGCUGAGGAGCGAAAGCGUGGGGAGCGAACAGG
rnacentral:rRNA from 1 species